AAGACGAUACUUUUAGGGAUCAUUUCUAUAGUUUCUUACUAGGAAUUGUGUUUUGAAAGUGUUGUGCCUCCCAAACCGUGAUGAAGAGUGUUGAUGCUCUUUUCUGAGUGUGAAUCCAGUGUAGGGAAAUGACUUGUCUCACUAGUUCUACAUCGUUGAUGACCAUUCCUGAUUGCAGUUUUGGAGGGAAAGAGUAUGAGCUGAGCGGU